rnacentral:rRNA from 1 species
AUUGAACGCUGGCGGCAGGCCUAACACAUGCAAGUCGAGCGAGCGGCGGACGGGGGUGUAAUGCGUGGGAAACUGUCUGAUGGAGGGGGGUAACUACUGGAAACGGUAGCUAAUAUCGCAUACCAUCAGAUGUGCGCAGAUGGGAUUUGCUAGUGGGGGGGGUAACGGCUCACCUAGGCGACGAUCCCUAGCUGGUCUGAGAGGAUGACCAGCCACACUGGAACUGAGACACGGUCCAGACUCCUACGGGAGGCAGCAGUGGGGAAUAUUGCACAAUGGGCGCAAGCCUGAUGCAGCCAUGCCGCGUGUGAGAAGAAGGCCUUCGGGUUGUAAAGCACUUUCAGCGGGGAGGCGGUACCCGAAGAAGAAGCACCGGCUAACUCCGUGCCAGCAGCCGCGGUAAUAC